UUUGUAGACCGGGCUGGCCUUGAACUCACAGAGAUCUGACGCCUCUGCCUCCUGAGUGCUGGGAUUAAUGGUGUGAGCCACCGCUGCCCAACUGAGAUGCCCACAUUCAUGUUCAUCACAACACUUUCACAAUAGUGAAGAAAUGGAGCCAACCAGACCCGGGGUUACAGAGGGAGAGGAAGAGGAAAUCGUAGACAUGAUGGCUGAAGAGCACAAAAUCCUCCGGAGGAAGAAACAUGACCUCUUCUCUCAAGUCCUUUUGCACAGCCUGCUGAGCAGGGUCACGGCUAGAGCUCCAGCCAGAGCUGGAGCAUGUGUCAGCUAGCAGCUUUUUGGGGUACCCUGAAUCUGGGUUCUGAGAUCAUGAUCACUCACCAUCCGGACACAGAGAUCCGUCUGUCUCCGGAGUGCUGGGAUUAAAGGCUUUUGCCACCACAUCUGAAAACACAA